rnacentral:rRNA from 1 species
GCUACGGGUGGCAGCAGUGGGGAAUAUUGCACAAUGGGCGAAAGCCUGAUGCAGCAACGCCGCGUGAGCGAUGAAGGCCUUCGGGUCGUAAAGCUCUGUCCUCAAGGAAGAGAAUGACGGUACUUGAGGAGGAAGCCCCGGCUAACGACGUGCCAGCAGCCGCGGUAAUACGUAGGGGGCGAGCGUUAUCCGGAAUUACUGGGCGUACAGGGUGCGUAGGUGGUUUCUUAAGUCAGAGGUGAAAGGCUACGGCUCAACCGUAGUAAGCCUUUGAAACGGGGAAACUUGAGUGCAGGAGAGGCGAGUGGAAUUCCUAGUGUAGCGGUGACAUGCGUAGAUAUUAGGAGGAACCCCAGUUGCGAAGGCGGCUCUCUGGACUGUACCUGACACUGAGGCACGAAAGCGUGGGGAGCAAACAGGAUUAGAUACCCUUGUAGUC